GAUACACCUGCAUUUGAUUUGCCCAACAGGUCGUUUCCUCUUUGUCUCUCGUCUGAUUCACAAUGGUUCGGUUUGAAACUGUGUUUCUCUGUGCCAUGGGUAAGUGUUAAUCAUCUCAUUUAUUGCUUUAUUAAAUGCUUUAUAUUUAAUCUGAAUUUUCACCACGCUACAGCUCUCACAAUAAAACCUUACAGUAAAAAUAUCUAUUAUAAUUCUGGACUUGACACGUAUAGAAGUUGUCUAAUCAAGAAAUACAGUGAAAUUGUGUAAUAAUUUGUAACGAAAAUGUCUAAUUCCCACUUUUCUCUCAAGGUAUGAGAUUUUAUUACCACAAUUUACAAAAUGUUUUAUUUUAAUUUAGUUAAAGAUUAAGCUUCGAUACAAAUUAUAAUAAUAUAGUAAUAAUUUAAUACAAUAUAAUACGUACAAUAAUGCGGGUAAAAACUCUUAUAAAAGCUCAUCUAUUAUUUGUCUGUAUUAAAGUUCUAUGUGAUGUGUUAUUAAUGAGGUGUGUGUUUUAUGGGUUGCAGGUUUUAUCUCAGAGACUCUGUGCUCUUUAACUUUGGAGGCAGAAGCUGGAGAUAACGUCACUAUUUGGUGCCAACAUGACCUGAAACAUCCAGAACCAAUAUUCUGGUGUAAAUAAAACAUUUUCUAAGAACCCGGACAGAGGAAAAGGUUCAGACUCUUCUGCUGUGUUCUUCAUGCUGAAUGCGGUGUUUGGUGCCGUGAUUGUGAUUCUUCUCGGUGUCCUGAUCUUCAUCAUACUGAAACACAGAAAAACUCAUGGAGGUGUUGAGGCAGAAGAUAAUGAGUUCUCUGAGAAGAUACUGAAGAGGAGAUGUGAUGAAGUGGAGUAUUCAUAUGUUGUAUAUUCUUCUGUCAGUCAGUAACGCAGCAGUGUCAGGGUCAUGUGUGUACACAAGGUCAUGUCUGUUUUCUAACCAGUAACAUGUUUCUGAUGGUCAGUUGUUAGAGGAAUUCUAACAUUUAUCACAGUUAUAAAGUAUAUUAAAUAACUCCAACAGCUUCAAGUUUCUUUUUUAAUAUUAUAAUCUAUCCAUUUAUUAUCCAAACCCAGUGUAAUAAAGUGCAAACAGCUUCAGGUGCAAAUAGAGACAUUUCUUGUGUCUGUUCUGUCAUUGCAUGUAAGUCCAUAACAGAUUUGUAGAGGCUCUGGCAAUAGAAACUGGUCUUUAUAUCAGUCACUCAUAGUGAUAUUGUGUAGAAACUUUAUCACAGCGCUCCAUAAAGCACAUUUCAUCUAGCUGUCUUGUCAUGAAGCAGAAAUAUUUGCUGAUCCGACUGUUCCAAGUGGAUUCUCGGGAACCUGAAAUGGUUUAUUUCAUUUCUGUAUUUGGUCUUUUCCCAGUCAGACUGAGCCAUUACUGUGUAACUAUUCUGUACAUGUGUAAUAUGUAAAGAAUAAUACACUCUUUACAUGUGC